rnacentral:rRNA from 1 species
GAUGAACGCUGGCGGCGCGCCUAAUACAUGCAAGUCGAGCGAACAGACGAGGAGCUUGCUCCUUUGACGUUAGCGGCGGACGGGUGAGUAACACGUGGAUAACCUACCUAUAAGACUGGGAUAACUUCGGGAAACCGGAGCUAAUACCGGAUAACAUGUUGAACCGCAUGGUUCAACAGUGAAAGACGGUCUUGCUGUCACUUAUAGAUGGAUCCGCGCCGCAUUAGCUAGUUGGUAAGGUAACGGCUUACCAAGGCAACGAUGCGUAGCCGACCUGAGAGGGUGAUCGGCCACACUGGAACUGAGACACGGUCCAGACUCCUACGGGAGGCAGCAGUAGGGAAUCUUCCGCAAUGGGCGAAAGCCUGACGGAGCAACGCCGCGUGAGUGAAGAAGGUCUUCGGAUCGUAAAACUCUGUUAUUAGGGAAGAACAAAUGUGUAAGUAACUAUGCACGUCUUGACGGUACCUAAUCAGAAAGCCACGGCUAACUACGUG